UACGGGGGGAGCAAGCGUUGUUCGGAUUUACUGGGCGUAAAGGGCGCGUAGGCGGCCUCCGCAAGUCGACUGUGAAAUCUCUGGGCUUAACCCAGAACGGUCAGCCGAUACUGCGGGGCUAGAGUGCAGAAGGGGCAACUGGAAUUCUCGGUGUAGCGGUGAAAUGCGUAGAUAUCGCUUGGAACGCCGAAGGUGAAAACAGGUUGCUGGGGUUGUGCCGACGCUGAGACACGAAAGCCAGGGGAGCAAACGGG
rnacentral:rRNA from 1 species